UUUUAUCGGAGAGUUUGAUCCUGGCUCAGGACGAACGCUGGCGGCGUGCCUAAUACAUGCAAGUCGAGCGGAUUGAUGGGAGCUUGCUCCCUGAUAUCAGCGGCGGACGGGUGAGUAACACGUGGGUAACCUGCCUGUAAGACUGGGAUAACUCCGGGAAACCGGGGCUAAUACCGGAUAACUCAUUUCCUCGCAUGAGGAAAUGUUGAAAGGUGGCUUCGGCUACCACUUACAGAUGGACCCGCGGCGCAUUAGCUAGUUGGUGAGGUAACGGCUCACCAAGGC
rnacentral:rRNA from 1 species